AUGAACGCUAGCUACAGGCUUAACACAUGCAAGUCGAGGGGCAGCAUGGUCUUAGCUUGCUAAGGCCGAUGGCGACCGGCGCACGGGUGAGUAACACGUAUCCAACCUGCCGUCUACUCUUGGACAGCCUUCUGAAAGGAAGAUUAAUACAAGAUGGCAUCAUGAGUCCGCAUGUUCACAUGAUUAAAGGUAUUCCGGUAGACGAUGGGGAUGCGUUCCAUUAGAUAGUAGGCGGGGUAACGGCCCACCUAGUCUUCGAUGGAUAGGGGUUCUGAGAGGAAGGUCCCCCACAUUGGAACUGAGACACGGUCCAAACUCCUACGGGAGGCAGCAGUGAGGAAUAUUGGUCAAUGGGCGAGAGCCUGAACCAGCCAAGUAGCGUGAAGGAUGACUGCCCUAUGGGUUGUAAACUUCUUUUAUAAAGGAAUAAAGUCGGGUAUGGAUACCCGUUUGCAUGUACUUUAUGAAUAAGGAUCGGCUAACUCCGUGCCAGCAGCCGCGGUAAUACGGAGGAUCCGAGCGUUAUCCGGAUUUAUUGGGUUUAAAGGGAGCGUAGAUGGAUGUUUAAGUCAGUUGUGAAAGUUUGCGGCUCAACCGUAAAAUUGCAGUUGAUACUGGAUAUCUUGAGUGCAGUUGAGGCAGGCGGAAUUCGUGGUGUAGCGGUGAAAUGCUUAGAUAUCACGAAGAACUCCGAUUGCGAAGGCAGCCUGCUAAGCUGCAACUGACAUUGAGGCUCGAAAGUGUGGGUAUCAAACAGGAUUAGAUACCCUGGUAGUCCACACCGUAAACGAUGGAUACUAGGUGUAGGGUGUGAUAAACAUUCUGUGCCGUCGCAAAAGCGUUAAGUAUUCCACCUGGGGAGUACGCCGGCAACGGUGAAACUCAAAGGAAUUGACGGGGGCCCGCACAAGCGGAGGAACAUGUGGUUUAAUUCGAUGAUACGCGAGGAACCUUACCCGGGCUUAAAUUGCAGAUGAAUUACGGUGAAAGCCGUAAGCCGCAAGGCAUCUGUGAAGGUGCUGCAUGGUUGUCGUCAGCUCGUGCCGUGAGGUGUCGGCUUAAGUGCCAUAACGAGCGCAACCCUUGUUGUCAGUUACUAACAGGUUCCGCUGAGGACUCUGACAAGACUGCCAUCGUAAGAUGUGAGGAAGGUGGGGAUGACGUCAAAUCAGCACGGCCCUUACGUCCGGGGCUACACACGUGUUACAAUGGGGGGGUACAGAGGGCCGCUACCACGCGAGUGGAUGCCAAUCCCAAAAACCUCUCUCAGUUCGGACUGGAGUCUGCAACCCGACUCCACGAAGCUGGAUUCGCUAGUAAUCGCGCAUCAGCCACGGCGCGGUGAAUACGUUCCCGGGCCUUGUACACACCGCCCGUCAAGCCAUGGGAGCCGGGGGUACCUGAAGUGCGUAACCGCGAGGAGCGCCCUAGGGUAAAACUGGUGACUGGGGCU
rnacentral:rRNA from 1 species